rnacentral:sRNA from 1 species
ACAGCCUGCUGGGAAGCUGCAGAUGGGCAGGGUCUGCAGCUGCGCAGAGAAUGAAAUGGAUGGUCCAACACAGACAAGGCCGACCACUCCACCGGAUGAAAGCCUUGUCAGAGAUUACCAGUUCCUUUUCAUUGGAAAGAGAAUUCUUUUCACAUCAACUAUAUUCAAGUCUACAACAGGUUAAACGUGACCAUGUUUAUGAUCAACUUCAAUAGAGCAUGAAUAGUCUACCUCAUUUUGUUUGAUUAUACAUAGCCUCUUUAUCAGUGAGAAAUAUGAGUUCAUUGAUUUGAGAAAUCAAUAUAAAAAUUGUAUGCAGGGUGGUUUCAAAAUCAUACUGAGGAAGCAACAUUUCUAAUUGCAGUUUUCUCAGACAACCCUUUUGUCAUUUGGGGAGGGAAUGUCCAGUUAUUUUUUAAGCUACCUGGGUAAGAUUCCUUUCCUCACUACUUUCAGAAAUCAGGCUUUUUACGUACAUUCAAAAAGGAGGUAUGCUGUUUUGUCCAUAUUACUUCACAGGGUAACCCAACUUACUGUUUACUGUGUACAAAGUGUAGGAUUAAUCUUUAUGCUAAAAAAUGUAUACAAUUUUAAGACAAGACCAUGGAAGUGCUUUAGUGCAUUACAGUAAUUAUCUUCAUCUUACCCAUGAAACCUUUCAUGACCCAAGUGACCUUGUAGUUAUUAAUAAUUAUAUUGGUUUAUUACUCCUGCACAACACCCUUUUCACAGUGUUACAUACACGAGGUUUCGAUUUUUUUCUACCCCAUCUUUUUAUUUAGUUCUGUGCCUCUUGUAUAAUAAAGUACAUUUCGUGGCAGUUAGGCAUGUAGUUGCCUAAGGAUGGAAAGUAUUGAGAAAUUAUGAUAUUCUAAUAAGAUAUCCCUGUAGGUACUGUGGAGAAAGGUGUACUAAAAUUCUCACGUUAAUUAAGACUGUUUUCCCUUCCUUUUUAGUUGUAAUAUAUUUUAUAUAUGCUAGUAAACACAUCUAUAUUCUAUACUCAGGGAUCACACUUUAUUCCAUUGAUUGAGAUAUAUAUGUUUAUUUCACACUAUAUUUUGUUUCUAGUAUUAUUUUUGUUUGUUUUCUUGCUGCUAAUUUAGAUGUUAAUGUUUUGUUCCAGUUUAUAAUCUCUUGUGGGCAGAAGAUGACAGAACUGACAUACUACAGAGGAAGGUAUGAAGAGUUACAGCGAGCAAGUAUGGGCCAUUCUCUCAGGUAUUUCUGCAGAAGCCACCCAUUAUAAGUGCACCAAACUUAUGUAUCAUUGGUAAGAAUUGCUCACAUGUGUUUAUACAUUAUGGCCGUUUUAAAGCAUAGAUUAACCCAUAAUGUUCAAGAGAGAGCCUCCUUGUUUUUCUUUUAAAUUCAUUUGUUUUGAUUUCGUGCAUAUAAUUAUUUUGUCUAUAUUUUUUUUUGUUGUUGUUGUUUUCUUUUGGGCAACACUUCCAUUCCUGGUAGCUGCUGUGGCCAGAAGAUGAUACUGAAUUUCUGAGAGCUGGAGUCAAGGGUGAUUGUGAGUUACCAUGUGGGUGCUGACAAAGGAACACAAGUCCUUUGGAAGUGCUCCUAAUCCAAGCCAUAUCACGAGACAGAGUCACCUUAGCUUUGUUGUUGUUGUUGAUGAUGAUGUUGUUGUUGUUUUUGACACAGAGUCUCUCACAGGGACCUGAGUUUCACAGAUUUGACUGCCUGACCAGGGACCUCCAGGGACAUGGAAUUCUUGACUUUCCAGUGUUUGCUAGGACUGAAGAUGUGUACCACCAUCACCCCACGGUUGUAAGGAAGCCAUACGUGUCUGACUGAAAAAUGGAUUACUUAGAUAAGGAUGACCCUUGAAGAACAAUCUUGCUUUGGGUUGAGAUACUUCAGUUAUGAAGACCACUUAGCCAGAGGCAGAACUACAGAAGGAAAAAGCAAGAUCUACCUGAGGACCAAGCUAUGUCACUCUUUGGAAUAUACC